AUUGAACGCUGGCGGCAUGCUUUACACAUGCAAGUCGAACGGCAGCACGGGGGUAACCCUGGUGGCGAGUGGCGAACGGGUGAGUAAUGCAUCGGAACAUAUCUUAAAGUGGGGAAUAACGCAUCGAAAGGUGUGCUAAUACUCCAUAUACUCUAAGGAGGAAAGCGGGGGGAUCGAAAGACCUCGUGCUUUAAGGGUGGCCGAUGUCUGAUUAGCUAGUUGGUGGGGUAAAGGCUUACCAAGGCGACGAUCGGUAGCUGGUCUGAGAGGACGAUCAGCCACACUGGGACUGAGACACGGCCCAGACUCCUACGGGAGGCAGCAGUGGGGAAUUUUGGACAAUGGGCGAAAGCCUGAUCCAGCCAUGCCGCGUGAGUGAAGAAGG
rnacentral:rRNA from 1 species